ACAUCACACUCGAUGAUCACGGGCACUCGCUGUCAAAACGCUAGUGUCAGCAAGCGCGGCAGCAGCAACAGUGAACGAAGUGACCUUCCUGCGGUCUAUCGCGUCAACGCCAGAGCGUCAAGAACGCAGCGCUCACUGAGACGCUGAGAAGCAAACCUUGACGAAAUUCCUCGACUGCGCCAUGGUUUCAAUACCGGAAAAAUUCCGCAAAUCUGCCCAAGACAUGUUCGACAUGUUCAAUGGCAUGACCAAAACCGACGCUGUUCUCCUCAUGUGCAAAGCAGCUAUGGACGCUGCAAGCGCCUUGUUUGAUGACUUCGUCACAAUGUACGCGGGCACUACCACGGAAAAGGAGCAUAUGGAGGGAGUAUUAGCCUUAUGCUACGAGAACGCACAGUGAAUAUUACCG